UCUCUUUUAACUGGCAGGUUAGAUAGCUUACUCUUCAAGCUAACGUUUUUGUGUUUGUAUAAUACGUUGAAUAAGUUGAUUCUCGGUGUAUAUAUAUAUCUGGGUUGCUUUUUGGCAUCAAAACAACAUUUUUGAUAACGUUUGAUAGUGCAUGCUUAAUAACAACUAACAUUAAUUACAAAUGCGGUGACGUUUGCUAGCAAUCUGUUUUCACAUUAAUGAAUUAACUUAGUUAACUUAUAGUUUGAGAUAUGUUGUUUGCAAUUGUUUGCUGCAGAGCAUAGUAACUUGUGUGAGUAAAUAAGAUAGUAAUUAAUUCCUUUUUCAUCAACUCCCUAUUAUGCUCAUAAGUUAUACGAAACUUCCCCAGGAGCACUGUUAAAGUAUUUUGGGGGAGGCACUGACUCAGCCCAGGGGCAGUCCACCUCCUCAGGCUCGGCCAAGGCUAAUGAAUCAGGUCCAUCUCCAUUCUCUGCUCCAUCUGCUGUGCCCACUGUCUCCUCUGUGUCUGCUGCACCCUCAGCUCUACCUGGUCCAUCUCCAUCCUUUGCUCCAUCCACUGUGCCCACUGUUCCCUCUGUGUUGCAGUUUAUUUAAAACAAAAAUAAUAAAGCAGAUUGUGUUUA